AGCCUAGGCUACAUAGUGAGUUCAAAACCAGCCUGAUAGAAUGGCCCCUGCAUAAAGAUGACACACAAAUUUGUGAAGUGUUCCAUAUUUCA
rnacentral:snRNA from 1 species